GGACCUGACUGCUAUCGGAUUGAUACUAAGCCAUGCGAGUCAUUGUAGUAAUACAAGGCAGACGGCUCAGUAACGCGUAGUCAACCUAACCUAUGGACGGGAAUAACCUCGGGAAACUCGGAGUAUAAUGCCCGAUAGAACAUUAUGCCUGGAAUGGUUUAUGUUUCCAAAUGAUUUAUCGCCGUAGGAUGGGACUGCGGCCUAUCAGUUUGUUGGUGAGGUAAUGGCCCACCAAGACUAUUACAGGUACGGGCUCUGAGAGGAGUAGCCCGGAGAUGGGUACUGAGACACGGACCCAGGCCCUAUGGGGCGCAGCAGGCGAGAAAACUUUGCAAUGUGCGAAAGCACGACAAGGUUAAUCCGAG
rnacentral:rRNA from 1 species